CUCAAUUUCGCUGCAAUUUUUCCGAAUGAUUCAGGCUUGGUUUAUUAUUUUGCUAAUUAAUUAAUGCUUUCUAGUCUCAAAACUAUCUAUAAUAGAUGAUGAAAUUCAGUUUGUUUCAUUUCUCUGAUGAUACCAUUGAUGAAUAUGAUUUCAGCUCAAGUUAUAUUUCUUGUAUUCUUGCAUGAAUAGUUGGUUUACUUCUUCUUCUUCCUCUUUUUUUUUUUUUUGCAGAUCAAUUUAUAUGAGAUUUCCCUUAAGAGUUGCUUGAGUUUUAGCACAUUGCUGCCCUAUGAGAAUUUUAUUGGUCGGUUGGUGUCAUUCUCAUGCUCAAUCAAGUACUGAUUAGGAAAAUCCUUGAUCAAUUCGAUAAAUGUAGACAGGAAUUUAUAAAUUUGAAAAUUAAUUGAAUUCAGUCACGCUGGUUGGGUAUUUUUUUCAGCUGAUCCAAGCAAUACUACAAUUGAUUUCCUAAUGCUGUACAGAAAAUCGUUUUUUUUCCCAAUUUUUUUUUGGGUACAAUCACUAUUUUCCGCUAUUAUUUAAACAAACAAGCAACCCACAUUGAGUAUUUUUUGCCUAAUCCUCCCUUGCUGCUUGUGUGUAGUAGAUGCAUCUGCUUAGAUUCUCUACUGGUGGAUCUUUUGUUUGACUAUAUAGGCAUUACCUGCUUUACUGACUUCACUUUGCCAGUGAAUACUCCGUUUCUUAUUACGUUAAUACUCUUUUCUUAUUUCUAUUCUCCAAUCACCUGUUCUUUACUGACUUCACUUUGCCAACUGGAGUAUACAAUUGAAUGUUUUGACUUAUAUUUUAUCCGAACAUAUACCUCGUGGUGGAUAUUAUUGUCCCCGCAUACUCUUCUGCUUUGGUUUAUGUUGUCUAGAUAUUUCUAUCUAAAUUUUGUUCGUUGCCAUUAGGUUUGUGGCAAUAAUUGGUGUUCAAACUCUGAUGUUGUUCUUUACUUUGUGCGCAUACAUUGAUCGUUUAAACAUGUAUGCCUAUUUGAGAAUAAUUUAUUUUCUCCUUUCAAAUAUUCUUGUGCAUUUUGUUUCAAGGUUUUGUAAUAACUAAUUCUGCACCAUAGGGAUUCACUGUAAUGAAACGUUCUCGUGCAUUUUGUUUUUCUAGGUUCUGCAAUAACUAAUUCUGCACCACACCAUCUUAUGAGUACUCCCUGUAUGAUUGCAUCUGAAUGAGAACCUUAUAACUGGGAAACUAAUAUAGUAUGUGAAGGAACCUCUAGUGCGUCCUCUCUUGUUAACAAUUUUUUCUUUGUUUCUAAAAUUUAAACAUUCUAUUUAGUUCACAGUUUGUGCUCGGUAGUAUAUGUAGCUACAAAAUUUACGUGAUUUUGAUUGUUCUCUUCUCGAAUACUUGGCUUCGUAUCCUAAGCGGAAAUAUUGAUAAUUCUGUUUUACAUGUUAUGUCUUUCAAGGAAUUUUUUACUGAAUAUGGUGAAGCAAAUUUGUAUGAAAUCCAAGAGGUUGCUGGCAAAGGAAGUUAUGGUGUUGUGGCUGCUGCAGUUUCACACACGGGAGAAAAGGUAGCUAUAAAAAAGAUUGACAAUGUUUUUGAGCAUGUUUCUGAAGCCACUCGCAUUCUUAGAGAAAUCAAGCUCCUCCGGUUACUUCGGCACCCAGAUAUAGUAGAAAUAAAGCAUAUAAUGUUGCCUUCAUGUCGGAGAGAAUUCAAGGAUAUCUAUGUUGUUUUUGAAUUGAUGGAAACAGACCUUCAUCACCUACUCAAGACAAAUGAUGAUCUUAUUCCAGGGCAUCAUCAGUUUUUUCUGUAUCAGCUGCUUCGAGCUUUGAAAUAUAUACAUUCAGGUUGGACUUUUCUUUUACAGAUUUUAUAAUAUCCUCAUUCUUUGCUCUUUCUCGGUCUAAAUGAUACUUCGAAUUUUCUUGCUGCAGCAAAUGUGUUCCACCGUGAUUUGAAACCCAAAAACAUCCUUGCUAAUGCAGACUGCAAGUUGAAGAUAUGUGAUUUUGGACUAGCUCGUGCAUCAUUUGGUGAUGCUCCAUCUGCUGUGUUCUGGACUGUAUGUGAUUUAUACAACGAUAUUUGGAAGGAUAAAGCACUCUUUAAAUGCUUUUCAUGUUUCAUUUAUUUUUUCUUGGUCUGACACCGAAUAGUAGCCAUUAUUUUUCAUUUUUCUUAUCCAUUUAAUUUCUUACUCAAAAUGUCCAUUAUUUAUAGGAUUAUGUGGCAACUCAAUGGUACCGUGCUCCUGAACUUUGUGGUUCCUUUUUCUCCAAAGUAAGUAUCUAUAUCGUGCAGUAACAGUUUUCACAUAGAUGUGGGAGCUUGACUGUUGCCGAUAAUAUAUGCUGUUAAAUCAGCUUUGUUGAAAUUUUGAAGUUGAUACUUCUGAUUAAAUUCAACUCUUGCUGUAUCCACCUUUUGCUUGUUUUGCUUUAUUUGUACUAGUGCUCCGUUUAGAAUUCAUCUUGAAAUUACCCAGUAAGUUAGUUGAAUAUUAUGUUUCAAAGCCAAUGUUGUAUUGCAUCGCUCAUCCUUGUUUGGUUACUUGACAAAUAAUGUGUAGCUUUUAAUAUGUCAAACCUUUUUAAUGCAAUUUCCAUUUGAUUCUUGAAUAAUGUUACUGUUAAGCCACCAAUUCACUACACUUAUUCUACAAGGGCAAAGAAGCGGGUCUCGCAAGUGGAGGCGGGAAAGGGGUAAACUAAUUUCUGUUGGGGGAUAUGGAGUAACAACUUUCUGUUAGUUAAAGCAUAUAAAUAAGAAUAGUGAGGUAGGAGCUCGGGAGGCAGAAAUUGAGUAGUCUAUGGGUCUAAUUCUUGUUUACAGCCUUCUAUAGGCUUACUGGUCUUUAAUUUCUUGUAAUUCCUGAAUUAUUCAAUAGAAACACUUCUCAAUACGGCAAUUAAUCGUGUUGUUCCGGUCGGUUUCUUAUCAACCGGUAUUAGAGCGGUUUCUUUCCAUGGCACAGAAAAAGACGGAGGGUAGAGUCGACACCGUGGAGAAGGACAUGGAGGAGAUGAGGGCAUGGAUGCAUGGCUUGGAGAAGACGAUGGAAGGGAUGCGUGGCUUGGACAAAACGGUGGAGCAGCUUGCCCAGAACGUGGCAGCUCUAAUACACAAAGUGGAAGGGCUGAGCUAAAACUCCAAGAGAGAGGGGAAGGCUAGUGUGACGGAAGGAUCAGUGCAAUCAGANCUGUUACCUCCUUUUGUGGACCUUGAUCCUAAUUCUUUGGCCCCCUCUAACCCACUACCACCUCUCACAGCACACACAGAUAAAAUUGAUGCUAUUUUAGAUGAAGAAACUGUGUUCACUAAUGAUGGAGAGGUUCAGCGCUUCCUUGUUCGUUGGGUUGGUCGACCAGAUUCUGAUUGUGCAUGGAUCUCCAGGGAGACACUACAGCAUUUGGAUCCAGAUUUAUCGGAGUCAGUAGGAUCUUCCUUGGCCCAGAUCGCCUCCCGUCCACCCGAGGGGAGUUGGUGAGGACACCAGGUUCAGACCGCCACUGACGCAUUUCUACAGACGCAGGAAGAAGCUUGCCCAGCCACUCAGCUUAUGGUUGGGAGAUUGACAGAUGCCUAUGGUGAUAUAGCCACUCGACAGGGUCGAGUUUUCUCUCCCACCUCGGGAGAAUUAAUGAGGACAUUCAAUUUUAAUUAAUUUUAGCAAUUUUAAUUAUUUUAGUUGGAAUUUAGGUUAUUUUAAUUUUAUGGACUUGUGUAUUGGGCUUGGCCCUAGGUUUGCAUUAUUUUCCAGUAUUUAAACCUAUCUUACAUUUUUAUUUGGGACGAUGAAUUUUGAUUGAAUAAAAGUUUGGCUAAAGCCCCGUUUCUCCUCUCUGUGUUCUUCCCCGGUUCCUCUCUUCUCCUCUCCUCACUUUCCCCUUCUUCUUUCUCUGUUAUUGAUACUACAUCACUUAUUCUACAAGGGCAAAGAAGCAGGUCUCGCAAGUGGAGGCGGGAAAGGGGUAAACUAAUUUCUGUUGGGGGAUAUAGAGUAACAACUUUCUGUUAGUUAAAGCAUAUAAAUAAGAAUAGUGAGGUAGGAGCUCGGGAGGCAGAAAUUGAGUAAUCUAUGGGUCUAAUUCUUGUUUACAGCCUUCUAUAGGCUUACUGGUCUUUAAUUUCUUGUAAUUCCCGAAUUAUUCAAUAGAAACACUUCUCAAUACGGCAAUUAAUCGUGUUGUUCCGGUCGGUUUCUUAUCAACUGGUAUUAGAGCAGUUUCUUUCCAUGGCACAGGAAAAGACAUAGGGUAGAGUCGACACCGUGGAGAAGGACAUGGAGGAGAUGAGGGCAGGGAUGCAUGGCUUGGAGAAGACGAUGGAAGGGAUGCGUGGCUUGGACAAAACGGUGGAGCAGCUUGCCCAGAACGUGGCAGCUCUAAUACACAAAGUGGAAGGGCUGAGCUAAAACUCCAAGAGAGAGGGGAAGGCUAGUGUGACGGAAGGAUCAGUGCAAUCAGAAGUGGAAAAGGUCUAGCAUGUAGACGAACCAGAGAAAUGGCAGGAAGGAAUAGAAGGAGCUAGCUUUGGGAGGCCCUCAACGAACACCUUCCAGAGCAGGGAUGAAGAUAGCUGGAAGUGUAAUCAAAAGUGGAGAAGGUCUAGCAUGUAGAUGAACCAGAGAAAUNGAACGUGGCAGCUCUAAUACACAAAGUGGAAGGGCUGAGCUAAAACUCCAAGAGAGAGGGGAAGGCUAGUGUGACGGAAGGAUCAGUGCAAUCAGAAGUGGAAAAGGUCUAGCAUGUAGACGAACCAGAGAAAUGGCAGGAAGGAAUAGGAGGAGCUAGCUUUGGGAGGCCCUCAACGAACACCUUCGAGAGCAGGGAUGAAGAUAGCUGGAGGAGGUGCAAAAAAUGGAGAUGCCCAUCUUCAGUGGUGGCUGUUUUGAGCAGAGAGGUAUUUCGAAGUAAAUGGGCUUACCAAACGAGAGAAGUUGGGAGCAGUGGUAGUCAGCUUGGAUGGAGAUGCACUAUCUUGGUUUCAAUGGGCAGCAAUUCCGGGAGGCGUUACUGCUGCGUUUCCGGCCUAUGCAAAAGGGGAACCUCUGUGAAAAAUUUCUGGCUAUAAAACAAAGGGGGACAGUAGCGGAAUUCCGGCGAGAAUUCGAGUUGCUUGCCGCUCCCCUGAAGUGCAUCUCCGACGAAGUGCUAGAAAGCACGUUUGUUAAUGGGUUGAGAAUUGAUAUAAGGGCUAAAGUGAGGCUCCUGGGUCCAAAGGGGUUGGGCCCAACUAUGGAGAUGGCCCAGAAAAUUGAAGAUAGGAACCUGAUUCUAAAAAAGCUCUAGGAACCCAUGAACCAUAAGUCAUUUAAGCCCACUUCCCGUACAAGUCGGGCAGAUGCGAGGCAAUUUGAGGGAUUUUUAACGAAGACCAUCACAGUCGGAGAGGGACCGACCACAACCAAGCCAUUGAAGAGGUUAUCCGAAGCUGAAUGGCAGCUCAGGCGUGACAAGGGGCUGUGUUUUAAGUGUGACGAGAAGUAUGUGGCCGGCCAUCAAUGUCGGAACCGCAAGUUGCGGGUUUUGCUGGUCGAAGGAGAGGGAGGUUACGAGGAAGAAGGGGAUGUCUGGGUGGAGGAAGAGCAGCCCUUCGAGGUAAGAGACACAGUCGAACUAUCACUCAACUCCGUGGUCGGCUUGACUACACUUGGGACGAUGAAGCUAAAAGGGAUUAUAGGAGGGUGUGGAGUGAUGGUAUUAAUUGAUUGUGGUGCAACCCACAACUUUAUAUCCCUUGAGCUGGUUCAGAAAUUGGAUCUUCCGAUGACAGCCACGACUAAUUAUGGAGUGGUGAUGGGGUCGGGUAAAUCCAUGCAAGGGAAGGGGAUAUGCAGGGGAGUAGCUCUGGAACUGCAAGGGCUAACUAUAGUGGAGGAUUUCUUGCCGCUAGAGUUAGGAAGUACGGAUGUGGUGUUGGGGAUGCAAUGGUUAGGAAGUUUAGGUGACAUGGAGGUCAGCUGGAAACGCUUGUCGAUGAGGUUCCAGUUGGGGAAUUCGGUGAGGAUAUUAAAAGGGGACCCCUGCCUUUAGAAAUCAGGGGUAUCAUUAAAGUUAAUGAUGAAAACCUUACAACAUGAAGGACAGGGAAUAUUGGUUGAAUGGAAGGACCCUUUGGGUAAAAUCGAAAUCAGCGAGGGAGGGGGAGUACCACCUGCAGGGAUACAAGGGAUAUUACAGCAACGUCAACAGGUGUUUAUUACACCAAUAGGGCUUCCCCCAAGCCGUGAUAUUGAUCAUGCCAUUCCCUUGAAGGGGAGGACUGAACCAAUUAACGUGAGGCCUUACAGAUAUCCCCAUUUUUAGAAGAACGAGAUUGAACAGUUGGUCCAGGAGAUGUUAACUGCUAGAAUUAUACAGCCUAGUGUCAGCCCGUUCUCCAGCCCUGUUUUACUUGUGAAGAAGAAAGACAGGAGUUGGAGGUUCUGUGUAGAUUACCGGGCCCUGAACAAAGCAACCAUUCCAGAUAAGCUCCCCAUCCCGAUCAUUGAUGAACCGCUGAACGAGCUACAUGGUGUUGCAAUCUUCUCCAAACUGGAUUUGAGGUCGGGAUAUCACCAAAUUAGAGUAAAGGAGGAUGUUCAUAAUACGGCGUUCCGGACUCACGAGGGGCACUACGAGUUCUUGGUCAUGCCCUUCGGCCUGUCUAAUGUGCCAGCCACAUUCCAAUCUCUGAUGAAUCAGGUCUUUUAGAGGCAGCUGAGGAAAUUUGUGUUGGUCUUCUUCGAUAACAUUCUGAUCUAUAGCAAGAGUUUGGAAGCCCAUGAGCAACACCUGCAGGAGGUAUUGACAAUCUUGGCAGCAAAUCAUCUCUACGCUAAUGCAAAAAAAGUGUCACUUUGGGCAGCAUCAGAUAGAAUAUUUGGGGCACUUAGUCUCAGCUAAAGGAGUAGCAGCAGAUCCUAGCAAGAUAGCAGCAAUGGUACAAUGGCCAAUCCCUCGUAACAUUUGAGAACUUCGCGGGUUUCUGGGAUUGACUGGCUACUGCAGGAGGUUUGUAGCCGGCUGUGGUGCAAUAUCAUGGCCUCUUAUGCAACAAUUACAGAAGGAUGCUUUCAAGUGGAACGAUGAUGCAGAAGCUGCCUUUCAAAAACUGAAGUUGGCUAUGACGAUAGUACCCGUAUUAGCUCUUCAGGAUUUCUCAAAGCCCUUCAUUAUCGAGACAGAGCCUCGGGCCACGGGUUAGGGACGGUUCUUAUGCAGUAGCAGCGCCCUAUUGCCUAUUACAGUCAGGUAUUGUCCGGAAAAUCUCUACACAAAUCCAUCUAUGAGAGGGAAUUAAUGGCCAUUGUCCUAGCCGUCCAAAAAUGGAGGCAUUAUGUGCUGGGAAGAAAAUUUGUUGUGCGUACUGAUCAACGAAGUCUAAAGUACUUGUUGGAACAGCGUGUAAUUCCUAGGAUUUCCAACGGUGGGUGACAAAAUUGAUGGGAUAUGAUUUGGAGAUCCACUAUCGUCCUGGAAAGGAGAACAAGGCGGCAGAUGCAUUGUCGCACCUAUAUCCCUUGGUUGAGUUAGCUACCUUAACCAGCGAAGGUGUUGUGGACAAUCAGUUGCUCGAUGCAGAAGUAGACAAGGAUUCAUACCUCUCUAAAAUAAAAAAAGGGCUGCAGGAAGAUCCAAAUGGGUAUCCACAUUUCUCAUUGGAGCACGGGAAGUGACUGUAUAAAGGACGCCUAGCACUCCCCAAUCCUCCACGCUAAUUUUGAUUUUCUUGAGAGAAUUCCACAGUAGCUUGGCCGGGGGGCAUUCAGGUUUCCUCCGCACUUAUAAGUGACUUACUAGUGAUCUAUAUUGGGUGGGAUUAAACAGGACAUUAAGAAGUUUGUGGAAGAAUGUCCGGUUUGCCAACAAAGUAAGAGUCUUGCACUUUCCCCAGCAGGCCUCUUGCAGCCCCUACCAGUUCCCGCUCUUAUAUGGGAAGAUGUUUCAAUGGACUUCAUAGAGGGCCUACCAAAAUCUAGAAAUUACAAUUCCCUGCUGGUGGGGGUUGAUCGCCUCAGUAAGUAUGCCCAUUUCUUGUCACGAAAACAUCCCUUUACUGUGGAGGGAGUAGCUGCAGUCUUCAUUAAGAAAAUUGUCAGACUCCAUGGUAUUCCAAGGUCCAUUGUCUCAGAUCGUGACAAAGUGUUUCUUUGUCACUUCUGGUCAAAACUUUUUCGCCGCCAGGGGACUAUCCUCCGUUGAAUCACGGCUUACCAUCCGCAAUCAGAUGGGCAGAUUGAGGUGGUUAAUCGGUGUGUGGAAACGUAUCUUCGAUGCUUUACCUAUGGCAAACCAAAGAGCUAGAGCAAUUGGAUUUCCUGGGCAGAGUACUGGUAUAAGACCACUUUUCGCUCCUCUACAAAUACAACACCUUUCAAAGCAGUCUAUGGAAGGGACCCUCCCCCACUCAUCCGUUACGGCAGCCAGACCACUACAAUUCAAUCAGUAGAGCAGCAAUUACAGACCAAAGAUCAUAUGUUGGAGGAGCUGAAAUCUCAUCUGCAACAUGCCCAGGAAAAGAUGAAGGAGUUAGCAGACCGUCACAGGCGAGAUGUCUAAUUGAGUAUUGGAGACUUGGUGUACAUCAAACUCCGGCCCUAUCGCCUCCGCUCCCUUGCAAGAAAACCCAAUGAGAAGCUGGGCCCUAAAUACUUCGGUCCGUUUGAGAUUGAAGAACGGAUAGGGCCUGUGGCGUAUCGUGUGAAGUUGCCACCUUCCGCAGCUAUAUAUCCUAUGUUCCAUGUCUCGCAACUUAAAAAAGCGCUUGGGGCACAAGGUGCAAGCCAAGAGUUUCCCCCACAUCUUGCAGGUAAUUUGGAAUGGGUCGUGGAACUUGAAAAGGUUUUAGAAACCCGUCAUAGGCUGACUGGCAUGGAAGUGCUUGCGUAGUGGAGGGGUCUGCCCCAAUCUGAAGCCUUUUGGGAAUCAGCUGAAUCAAUCUUGCAACACUUCCCCGACUUCCACUUUAAGGACAAGGUGUCUUUGAAAGGCGGGGGUAAUGUUAAGCCACCAAUUCACUACACUUAUUCUAGAAGGGCAAAGAAGCAGGUCUCUCAAAUGGAGGCGCGAAACGGGUAAACUAAUUUCUGUUGGGGGGAUAUGGAGCAACAACUUUCUGUUAGUUAAAGCAUAUAAAUAAGAAUAGUGAGGCAGGAGCUCGGGAGGCAGAAACUGAGUAGUCUGUGGGUCUAAUUCUUGUUUACAGCCUUCUAUAGGCUUACUGGUCUUUAAUUUCUUGUAAUUCCCGAAUUAUUCAAUAGAAACACUUCUCAAUAUGGCAAUUAAUCGUGUUGUUCUGGUCGGUUUCUUAUCAGUUACUUAGCUAAUUAUAUACUUAAAUAAUAUUGCUUAGUGUUGAUUAUAACUUGAUAGAUAUUACUUGGCUAAUUUGAUACUUUUCCCCUUACACUUUUCCAAUCCUUGUUCAAGUCUUUGUUCAUGAAAGUUCCAACUAGGAUACAAUCUGGGAAAGUUUAUUGUUUAUCGUUGAAAUUAUCAUAGUCACGUUGCACAUUUGUGAAUUAUAAAAUUGUCCGUUGAUGAGGUUCUUAAUACAUACUCUUUUAAAUUUGUCAUUCUAACUUCAAAAAGAUUUCUAUUUAUGGGAGAUUGCGUUCUGUCCGAAUUACAUGAAUAACUUUUUAUCAAAUGGUUUUUCUGGAAUGGACAAGUUUACUUGCAUAUGUUUCUGAAAUAAUCUCCAAACAUUCAAGAAUCAAGAAACUUCUCUCUGAGACAAAACCUCAAGUUCAGUUCCGUAAGUAUGGCAACGAUUCAACCAUAUAGGAAUCAAUUUUUUAUAAACUAUUUUGUUCAUCUGAUUGUAAAAUUGUCCAUCGAAAUCCUUUCAAGGAUAUUCUAAGAUUUAGUGUUUUUUGCAAUAAACUCCUGCUAUUGAUAUCUGGAGUAUAGGAUGUAUAUUUGCGGUAAUUCUCACGGGCAAACCAUUGUUUCCUGGGAAGAAUGUUGUCCACCAACUGGAUCUCAUAACUGAACUUCUUGGUUCACCUUCUUCUGAAUGCCUUUCCAGGGUAAGUUCCAUCUUUAAUUAGUUAGUUAACUUAUCUUUGAGAAGAUUCUGGUCACAUUAUUAGUUUUCAAAAAUUUGUAUCUCAUGAUAAUUAGCAACAGAUUAUUUCAGAACGUAUGAAAUAAACGAAGCUUAUCAUUUGACAAUUUGACCUUUUUUCUACCUACAGAUUCGAAAUGAGAAGGCACGAAGAUAUUUAAGUAGCGUGAAAAGGAAAGCACCUGUUCCUCUCUCACAAAAGUUUCCAAAUGUUGAUCCACUGGCUCUUCGUUUACUUGAACGUUUGAUAGCAUUUGAUCCCAAAGAUCGUCCAUCUGCUGAAGAGGUGAGAUUUAGUAAAUCAAAUAUGUUGUUUCACAUUUCCUUCAGUUGAUAAAUGCAAUAUCAGUAUUUAGGACGGGUUCAUUGAUACUAUCAAUUAUUUCUAACUGCAGGCAUUGGCAGAUCCAUAUUUUUAUGGUUUGGCAAAUGUCAAAGAUGAAUCAUCAACUCAACCAAUUUCAAAAUUUGAGUUUGAAUUUGAAAGGAGAAAUUUAACAAAAGAUGAUGUAAGAGAGCUAAUCUACAGGGCGGUAUGAACAUUGCUAGUGAUCUUUAGGCCAAUAUGGUAUAUCUGUGUUAGCUGUUAGCUAUUACUUACAUUGUAUCUUAACGAAGCAAACAGAUCUUGGAGUAUCAUCCCCAGAUGCUCCAGGAAUACCUCCGUGGCGUGGACCAGACUCACUUUAUGUAUCCAAGGUUUGACAAUCAAAAGAAUUCUCCUCAACUUCUAGUUUGAUACAAGACAUUUUUGAGACGUUGCUUAAUCAAAUACAACAUAAAUUUUCUGUUCUCAUUUUUCUAAUGUAUCCAUUUAUAACUAAUCAAUAUAUCUUUUUCACCAAAUCUCCAAUACUUUUUCGAUCCAAG
rnacentral:lncRNA from 1 species